AAAAGUGUCCCCAUUUUAUUUCACGUGUAUUAUUAGUCAGUUUGAUACAUGGAAGUUUUUUUUAUGAGGAGUAGAAACACUUCACUUAUUUUUUUUUUGUGCUGGCAACAUUUCAUUCGUAAAAUAGUAAUGUCAGUGAUCUGUCAGCCAACUUAGUUUGCAUAAAAGAAACGGUGCUCGGUGUGGGCUAAGAGUUCGUCAUUGGAUUUUCGUGACUUUCUGGAAGUAAUUUCUCAUGAUGCCACUAACACCUGCUGAAAGGCAAAAACUCUAUCGGGAAAGGUUGAAAGAGAAAGACCCUGAGAAAUUUUUGUCUCAAAAAAGAAAAAAUGCUGACAGAACACGCGAAAAAAGAAAGAAAAUAGCAGAAUACGCUCCAUCCGAGCAGGAAAAUAUUAGAAAACAGUGGAGAUAGAAAGAAAAAAAGUAAAGAAGAACCAUCGUCAUCCUUACCUGAAGUUAUGCCAUCUGAAAAAGACACUUAAAGACAGAAGAAAAAUCAAAAUAGAAGAGUGCUUUAUAAACUAAAAGAAGAAAACAUUGCAUUGAAAAUACAGCAAGGACAUUUGCAAAAAGCUUUGAAAAUUAUAAGAAAAGAAUAAACCGAUGUUUGAAGAAAAAUAAUAAGCUAUUAGAUCUGAUCAAAGAGAAAAACAAUUUGAUUCGUGAUUUAGAAGAAAAGCUUAUUUCUAGAGACAUAAUAGAAAGAAAUGUUGACGAAAUGACUCCUUCUUCGAAGACAGAUGCUUAUAUUCAACAAAAUUUACCGGAUGUCCACCCUGAGGAAAAAGAAAGAGUGAAAAAAACAUUAUUUGAACAUCACGUUAUAAUAGAAACUAUGAAACAAAGUUAGCAAACUAAAGACAUGAAAGAAAAGCAAGUAUUAAAAGAUAUAGUGAAAAAAAGUAAAAUACUAGACAAAUACAAAAUGAAAACAAAAAUGGCUACCUAUUUGGGCUUGAAAGGAAAAAUUCGACAUACAUUAAAGAAAAAAAGUGGUAAUAUAAUACAGACUCAGUUGAAAGACUUUUUUGAGAGAGACGACGUAAGCAAAAGACGGCAGGUAAAAAUGAAAUAAAAACGCAAAACAAUCAAAAAAAGCAGAGAAGGUAUACUAUUACUAGGUAAUACUGCCAGGAAGGAGGAAAGCUGUCAUUCGCUACUUUUAAAAGAUACAUACUUUUAUGUAUUGCCACCAAAAGCUGAGAAACGUGAAACCUGUGCAUGCAAGAAAUAUGAAAAUUUGCAAAUGAAAGCCACGCUUCUAAAGUCAAUUGGUUUAGUAGCAACAAAAGAUCUCGACGAUUUGUUAGCUAUGAUUGUUUGCGAUAUAAAAUCUAAUGUUUGUGCUUAUGGAGAGUGUGAGUUGUGCAAAAAUAAAUGUAUUGAUUUCAUGACUUGUGGAAAAAAACUUAAACGAUGAAAUUUCUUGGGAUGAAUGGAAUUUAAAAUCUCAUCAAUA